rnacentral:rRNA from 1 species
AGGUAAAAUGGUGAUUGCAGAUUCAGUGAAUCAUCGAAUCUUUGAACGCACAUUGCGCCCAUGAGUAUUCUCUUGGGCAUGCCUGUUCGAGCGUCAUUUCGACCCUUAAGCAUAGCUUAGUGUUGGGAAUCUACUGUCUGUAGUUCCUGAAAACCAACGGCGGAGUUAUAGUAUCCUCUGAGCGUAGUAAUCAUUAUCUCGCUUCUGUUAGGUGCUGUAAUUCUAGCCGCUAAACCCCCUAUUUUUAAAGGUUUGACCUCGGAUCAGGUAGGAAUACCCGCUGAACUUAAGCAUAUCAAUAAGCGGAGGAAAAGAAACCAACAGGGAUUGCCCUAGUAACGGCGAGUGAAGCGGCAACAGCUCAAAUUUGAAAUCUGGCCCUCGGGUCCGAAUUGUAAUUUGUAGAGGAUGCUUUUGGUUAGGUACCUUCCGAGUUCCCUGGAACGGGACGCCUUAGAGGGUGAGAGCCCCGUACGGUUGGAUGCCGAGCCUCUGUAAAGCUCCUUCGACGAGUCGAGUAGUUUGGGAAUGCUGCUCUAAAUGGGAGGUAAAUUUCUUCUAAAGCUAAAUACCGGCCAGAGACCGAUAGCGCACAAGUAGAGUGAUCGAAAGAUGAAAAGUACUUUGAAAAGAGGGUUAAACAGCACGUGAAAUUGUUGAAAGGGAAGCGUUUAUGACCAGACUUUUUCUAGGCGGAUCAUCCGGUGUUCUCACCGGUGCACUUUGUCUAGUUUAGGCCAACAUCGGUUUCUGUAGGGGGAUAAAAUCGGUAGGAACGUAGCUCCCUCGGGAGUGUUAUAGCCUAUCGAAUAAUACCUUUACGGGGACCCGAGGUUCGCGCUCUGCAAGGAUGUUGGCAUAAUGGUCAUCAACGACCCGUCUUGAAACACGGACCAAGGAGUCGAACAUUUGUGCGAGUGUUUGGGUGUUAAACCCUCACGCGUAAUGAAAGUGAACGGAGGUGAGAGCCCUUCGGGGUGCAUCAUCGACCGAUCCUGAAGUUUACGGAUGGAUUUGAGUAAGAGCAUAACUGUUCGGACCCGAAAGAUGGUGAACUAUGCGUGGAUAGGGUGAAGCCAGAGGAAACUCUGGUGGAGGCUCGCAGCGGUUCUGACGUGCAAAUCGAUCGUCAAAUCUGCGCAUGGGGGCGAAAGUAAGUUUAAAAUGUUAUCUCGAGGGUAUAAACAAAGUGCUAAUGUGUGUUUUACAGGACUAAUCGAACCAUUAAACCAGCGGUAAAUUUGAUUUACUAGGUGGUUAAGAGGCGUCUCGAGAGAGAUUCCAGACCUAGGUCAAGGCAGCCUACCCGAAGCGAGCUACCCGGAACGACUUGCCCAGAGCGAGUUACCCGGAACGGCUUACCCAGAGCGAGCUACCCGGACCGAUACCACUAAAUUGCGGGGACAUCCUUUCAAUCUCUAGGCUACCGCAGCGCGCUGAAAACCGUGUCUGCACCAAGAUUAGCGGUCUUGGGUAUGGUAACAACGCCUAGAGCUGGGACGAUCUGCAGCCAACCCCGUGCUAGGGGAGAGUUCACAGACUAAACAGUGGUAGGUCGGCACCCGUGCCGGCUUAAGACAUAGUCGCCCGUGGCCCUGAAAAGGCGCCCGUAGCUACAAUAUAGCGUCAAAUUGGUAAA